GCAGACACACUCUGUUUAAGACUGAGACAUCCAGCCUUAAACUUUUUCUGUCUGCAACAGUAACCUGCAGAAUGUACAUAUUGCCUUGCCAUUUACUUGGGAGGUGGUAGUACCUUCUGAUACAUUCAU